AUUGAACGCUGGCGGCGUGCCUAACACAUGCAAGUCGAGCGGUAACAGGUGUAGCAAUACAUGCUGACGAGCGGCGAACGGGUGAGUAAUGCUUUGGAAUCUUCCCAGUAGUGGGGAAUAACCAGUCGAAAGAUUGGCUAAUACCGCAUACGUCUGUAAAGGGAAAGCGGGGGCUCGUAAGACCUCGCGCUAUUGGAUGAGCCAAAGUCGGAUUAGCUAGUUGGGGGGUAAUGGCCUACCAAGGCGACAAUCCGUAGCUGGUCUGAGAGGACGACCAGCCACACCGGAACUGAGACACGGUCCGGACUCCUACGGGAGGCAGCAGUGGGGAAUAUUGGACAAUGGGGGAAACCCUGAUCCAGCGACGCCGCGUGUGUGAAGAAGGCCUGCGGGUUGUAAAGCACUUUUAGUGGGGACAAAAAGCUACGGAUUAAUACUCUGUGGUCUUGAUUUAACCC
rnacentral:rRNA from 1 species